rnacentral:rRNA from 1 species
AGUGAACGCUGGCGGUAGGCCUAACACAUGCAAGUCGAACGGCAGCACAGUAAGAGCUUGCUCUUACGGGUGGCGAGUGGCGGACGGGUGAGGAAUACAUCGGAAUCUACUUUUUCGUGGGGGAGAACGUAGGGAAACUUACGCUAAUACCGCAUACGACCUACGGGUGAAAGCAGGGGAUCUUCGGACCUUGCGCGAUUGAAUGAGCCGAUGUCGGAUUAGCUAGUUGGCGGGGUAAAGGCCCACCAAGGCGACGAUCCGUAGCUGGUCUGAGAGGAGGAUCAGCCACACUGGAACUGAGACACGGUCCAGACUCCUACGGGAGGCAGCAGUGGGGAAUAUUGGACAAUGGGCGCAAGCCUGAUCCAGCCAUACCGCGUGGGUGAAGAAGGCCUUCGGGUUGUAAAGCCCUUUUGUUGGGAAAGAAAAGCAGCAGGUUAAUACCCCGCUGUUCUGACGGUACCCAAAGAAUAAGCACCGGCUAACUUCGUG